rnacentral:misc_RNA from 1 species
GUAACAUUAAGCACAGCGCUUACUUAUCCCCUUGAUACUACAAAAGUCCUUAUCCAGGUUGGUUCAAGUUCCAAUAAACCAUUAACUCUGUAUCAGGUUUUAAAUAGAGUUCGUUCAUUAUCUGGGAAUUCAGGCUUGUAUGGUGGCUUUGGGUGGUUGACCUCAGGGAGAAUACUUGGUAUGGGAGCUCGCUUUGGAAUCUAUGAAGUUUUGACAGCUUUUUAUAAAGAUGGCAGAGAAGACAAUUAUGUGUAUGUUUCUGAGGCCCUCUUGGCAGGAAUGGCAGCCGGUUCAAUGGAGUCGCUUGUACGCUCUCCAUUUGAAAUGAUUAAACUUCGUGCACAGGUUACAUCUGCAUCUCGGAUUCCAAGGUCUUCCUUUAAUGCAGAAAGUAAAGCUGUUUCACCUCUGAUUGAUAAAUUACUGCAUGGAUAUACUCCAGAAAAGAUGGCAUUGAACAAUUCUGUUGCUCUUUUGUCAACCCUAUCUGCUAAACACC